UCGAGGAUCUUCGGCAAUGGGCGCAAGCCUGACCGAGCGACGCCGCGUGUGCGAUGAAGGCCUUCGGGUUGUAAAGCACUGUCGAGAGGGAGAAAGCCGCAAGGUUGAUCUAUCUCUGGAGGAAGCACGGGCUAAGUUCGUGCCAGCAGCCGCGGUAAGACGAACCGUGCGAACGUUGUUCGGAAUCACUGGGCUUAAAGGGCGCGUAGGCGGGCAACCAAGUCUGAGGUGAAAUCCUCCAGCUUAACUGGAGAAGUGCCCCGGAUACUGGUUGCCUCGAGGAUGGUAGGGGCAUCUGGAACUAGCGGUGGAGCGGUGAAAUGCGUUGAUAUCGCUAGGAACUCCGGUGGCGAAGGCGAGGUGCUGGACCAUUUCUGACGCUGAGGCGCGAAAGCCAGGGGAGCGAACG
rnacentral:rRNA from 1 species